rnacentral:rRNA from 1 species
GCUGGCGGCAGGCCUACACAUGCAAGCUCGAGCGGAUGACGGGAGCUUGCUCCUUGAUUCAGCGGCGGACGGGUGAGUAAUGCCUAGGAAUCUGCCUGGUAGUGGGGGACAACGUUUCGAAAGGAACGCUAAUACCGCAUACGUCCUACGGGAGAAAGCAGGGGACCUUCGGGCCUUGCGCUAUCAGAUGAGCCUAGGUCGGAUUAGCUUGUUGGUGAGGUAAUGGCUCACCAAGGCGACGAUCCGUAACUGGUCUGAGAGGAUGAUCAGUCACACUGGAACUGAGACACGGUCCAGACUCCUACGGGAGGCAGCAGUGGGGAAUAUUGGACAAUGGGCGAAAGCCUGAUCCAGCCAUGCCGCGUGUGUGAAGAAGGUCUUCGGAUUGUAAAGCACUUUAAGUUGGGAGGAAGGGCAGUAAGCUAAUACCUUGCUGUUUUGACGUUACCGACAGAAUAAGCACCGGCUAACUCUGUGCCAGCAGCCGCGGUAAUACAGAGGGUGCAAGCGUUAAUCGGAAUUACUGGGCGUAAAGCGCGCGUAGGUGGUUUGUUAAGUUGGAUGUGAAAGCCCCGGGCUCAACCUGGGAACUGCAUCCAAAACUGGCAAGCUAGAGUACGGUAGAGGGUGGUGGAAUUUCCUGUGUAGCGGUGAAAUGCGUAGAUAUAGGAAGGAACACCAGUGGCGAAGGCGACCACCUGGACUGAUACUGACACUGAGGUGCGAAAGCGUGGGGAGCAACAGGAUUAGAUACCCUGGUAGUCCACGCCGUAAACGAUGUCAACUAGCCGUUGGAAUCCUUGAGAUUUUAGUGGCGCAGCUAACGCAUUAAGUUGACCGCCUGGGGAGUACGGCCGCAAGGUUAAAACUCAAAUGAAUUGACGGGGGCCCGCACAAGCGGUGGAGCAUGUGGUUUAAUUCGAAGCAACGCGAAGAACCUUACCAGGCCUUGACAUGCAGAGAACUUUCCAGAGAUGGAUUGGUGCCUUCGGGAACUCUGACACAGGUGCUGCAUGGCUGUCGUCAGCUCGUGUCGUGAGAUGUUGGGUUAAGUCCCGUAACGAGCGCAACCCUUGUCCUUAGUUACCAGCACGUUAUGGUGGGCACUCUAAGGAGACUGCCGGUGACAAACCGGAGGAAGGUGGGGAUGACGUCAAGUCAUCAUGGCCCUUACGGCCUGGGCUACACACGUGCUACAAUGGUCGGUACAGAGGGUUGCCAAGCCGCGAGGUGGAGCUAAUCUCACAAAACCGAUCGUAGUCCGGAUCGCAGUCUGCAACUCGACUGCGUGAAGUCGGAAUCGCUAGUAAUCGCGAAUCAGAAUGUCGCGGUGAAUACGUUCCCGGGCCUUGUACACACCGCCCGUCACACCAUGGGAGUGGGUUGCACCAGAAGUAGCUAGUCUAACCUUCGGGAGGACGGUACCACGGUGUAUUCAUGACUGGGG